GAUGAACGCUGGCGGCGUGCCUAACACAUGCAAGUCGAGCGAACCCUUCGGGGUGAGCGGCGGACGGGUGAGUAACGCGUGGGUAACCUGCCCUGUACACACGGAUAACGUACCGAAAGGUACGCUAAUACGGGAUAAAGUUGUUGGAUGGCAUCUUCUAACAAUCAAAGCUCUGGCGGUAUAGGAUGGACCCGCGUCUGAUUAGCUAGUUGGUGAGGUAAUGGCUCAACAAGGCGACGAUCAGUAGCCGACCUGAGAGGGUGAUCGGCCACACUGGAACUGAGACACGGUCCAGACUCCUACGGGAGGCAGCAGUGGGGAAUAUUGCACAAUGGGCGAAAGCCUGAUGCAGCAACGCCGCGUGAGCGAUGAAGGUCUUCGGAUCGUAAAGCUCUGUCCUCAAGGAAGAUAAUGACGGUACUUGAGGAGGAAGCCCCGGCUAACUGCGUGCCAGCCGCCGCGGUAA
rnacentral:rRNA from 1 species